rnacentral:rRNA from 1 species
UACGUAGGGGGCAAGCGUUGUCCGGAAUCAUUGGGCGUAAAGAGCGCGUAGGCGGUCCGGUAAGUCAGCUGUGAAAGUCAAGGGCUCAACCCUUGAAAGCCGGUUGAUACUGUCGGGCUAGAGUCCGGAAGAGGCGAGUGGAAUUCCUGGUGUAGCGGUGAAAUGCGUAGAUAUCAGGAGGAACACCGGUGGCGAAGGCGGCUCUCUGGACCACAACUGACGCUGAGGCGCGAAAGCUAGGGGAGCAAACAGG